GAAUAUAUAGAGGUCCGCCUGCCCUGUGACAUGUUUUAACGGCCGCGGUAUUUUGACCGUGCAAAGGUAGCGUAAUCACUUGUCUUUUAAAUGAAGACCCGUAUGAAAGGCAUCACGAGAGUUUAACUGUCUCUAUUUUCUAAUCAAUGAAAUUGAUCUACUCGUGCAGAAGCGAGUAUAAUCACAUCAGACGAGAAGACCCUAUGGAGCUUCAAACACAUAAAUUAACUACAUAAAUUAAUUAUUCCACGGAUAUAAAUAAAAAUACAGUACCUUUAAUUUAACUGUUUUUGGUUGGGGUGACCAAGGGGAAAAACAAAUCCCCCUUAUCGACUGAGUACUCAAGUACUUAAAAAUUAGAUUUACAAUUCUAAUUAAUAAAAUAUUUAUCGAACAAUGACCCAGGAUUUCCUGAUCAAUGAACCAAGUUACCCUAGGGAUAACAGCGCAAUCCUUUCUCAGAGUACCCUAUCGCCGAAAGGGUUUACGACCUCGAUGUUGGAUCAGGACAUCCUAAUGAUGCAACCGUUAUUAAGGGUUCGUUUGUUCAACGAUUAAUAGUUCCUACG
rnacentral:rRNA from 1 species